UACGGAGGGGGCUAGCGUUGUUCGGAAUUACUGGGCGUAAAGCGCGCGUAGGCGGACCUGCAAGUCGGGGGUGAAAGCCCGAGGCUCAACCUCGGGACUGCCUUCGAUACUGCGGGUCUCGAGUCCGGGAGAGGUGAGUGGAAUUCCUAGUGUAGAGGUGAAAUUCGUAGAUAUUAGGAAGAACACCAGUGGCGAAGGCGGCUCACUGGCCCGGUACUGACGCUGAGGCGCGAAAGCGUGGGGAGCAAACAGG
rnacentral:rRNA from 1 species